UGCACUCCAGCCUGGGAGACAGAGCGAGACUCCGUCUCACAGAACAAACAAACAACAAACAACAACAACAAAAACGCACUUAGCCUAUCUGAUUCUCUAUUACUUCUAAAAAGUGCAUACUAAGGCAUAAUUUUGUUGGCAAAAGUCAAUCAGACUACAUCAAGUAAACUCCCUAAGUCUCCUAGUAUAAUUCACGGCACAAAAAUAUGAGGAAAAACAGGGAGGAUAUGAUUAAAAGUUUAGUUUGUAUUUUUUGUUGAAUGAAUGUCUCCAGUCAUAGAGAUGCAAGUGUAGAUACACAGUAAGAGUAGUAUGAAUGGCAGACACCUUGGAAGGCUAUUUCUUCCUUCAUUCAUUCAGUUGGUCACUCAAUGAACUAUCAUGAAUUGAGCACUACCUCUGUUUCUUAUCAACAAAGGAGACUACGGAAAGGAAGAAUGACUAAGAUCUCUGAAGAAGGGAAAAGCUAGAUGACUGGGCCACAAGAGGAAAAAAAGCAGCAAGACAGGUACAAUUGUGUCUAGUCCCUCAAGCCAGAAGGUCCUAUCAUUAUGUGAAUACUGGAAACGGGUGGACUCCACCUGUCCUGAGUGGGGAAUUCUUCCAGUGCAGCAUUGACUGAUAAGGAGUGAUUUCCAAGUAGCAUUGAUUGUGUUCUUUAAAAGCUAGGAAUUGAUAAAGCAGCAGUGCGUGGGAAAUGAGAUUUAAUAAUCUGGAUGUCACCUCUUAGGAACAGUUGCUCUCUUAGAGCAGCAGGCCACCUGUCAAUCUCGUAUUCUGAAGGUCCUGAGUUUGAACAUGAGACAAGGCACAGCUUAUGCCGCUAUUUCCAUUAAGAGAAAUGAAAUAGGUGUGAUAAAUAAUGGAACACAAAUGCUAUGAGAUAAUGAUUUCAAGACAGACCAAAUAUUAGCUUAAAAUUUAAAAGUGAGUUUUCUUUUCUUUUCUUUCUUUCUUUUUCUCUUUCUUUCUUUCUUUCUUUCUUUCUUUCUUUCUUUCUUUCUUUCUUUCUUUCUUCCUUGCUUCCUUCCUUCCUUCUUUCCUUCCUUCCUUCCUUCCUUCUUUCCUUUCCUUUCUCUGUCUGUCUUUAUUUAUUUUUUCCUUCUUUUGGCUUCUCAGUCGCUUGAGUACAAGGCGUGGUGAAGGCAUAUAAAUUACACCAGAAACUGCAAGCUAUGUCUUAUGUCUACCUCUCUAGCUGACAGGGGAGGCAGGGGAAAUUUCUCUUCCAAUUGCCUGCUCUGAAGGUCAUCCAAACAUAAUUAUGGGGUGGGGUGGGUAAAGUCUUUUAUUCUUUUAAUCGUCCAACCGAUAGUUCUCAACACAUAUCUUGUUAAGAGACUGUUUUGGGUAUAGCAAUUCGCAGUGAAUAAAAU
rnacentral:lncRNA from 10 species